UAAAAGAUAAGCUAAUGAAGCUAAUGGACUCAUACUCCAUUUAUAAAAAUAUUAAUUUUUUUCUUUUAA
rnacentral:tRNA from 3 species